rnacentral:rRNA from 1 species
CCUACGGGUGGCAGCAGUCGAGAAUCAUUCACAAUGGGGGAAACCCUGAUGGUGCGACGCCGCGUGGGGGAAUGAAGGUCUUCGGAUUGUAAACCCCUGUCAUGUGGGAGCAAAUUAAAAAGAUAGUACCACAAGAGGAAGAGACGGCUAACUCUGUGCCAGCAGCCGCGGUAAUACAGAGGUCUCAAGCGUUGUUCGGAAUCACUGGGCGUAAAGCGUGCGUAGGCUGUUUCGUAGGUCGUGUGUGAAAGGCGCGGGCUCAACCCGCGGACGGCACAUGAUACUGCGAGACUAGAGUAAGGGAGGGGGAACCGGAAUUCUCGGUGUAGCAGUGAAAUGCGUAGAUAGCGAGAGGAACACUCGUGGCGAAGGCGGGUUCCUGGACAUUAACUGACGCUGAGGCACGAAGGCCAGGGGAGCGAAAGGGAUUAGAUACCCUAGUAGUC